rnacentral:rRNA from 1 species
GACGAACGCUGGCGGCGUGCUUAACACAUGCAAGUCGAACGGAAAGGCCCUGCUUUUGUGGGGUGCUCGAGUGGCGAACGGGUGAGUAAAACGUGAGUAACCUGCCCUUGUCUUUGGGAUAACUCCAGGAAAAUGGGGCUAAUAUCGGAUAGGAGCUCCUGCUGCAUGGUGGGGGAUGGAAAGUUUCGGCGGUUGGGGAUGGACUCGCGGCUUAUGAGCUUGUUGGUGGGGUAGUGGCUUACCAAGGCUAUGACGGGUAGCCCACCUGGGAGGGUGGACGGCGACAAUGGGACUGAGGUACGGCGCAGACGGCAACGGGAGGCAGUGGGGGGGAAUAUUACGGAACAGGCGGAAGCCAGAGGCAGCGACGCCGCGUGCGGAAUGACGGCCUUCGGGUGAUAAACCGCUUUGGCCUUUGACGAGGCGUGAGUGACGGUAAUGAAUAAGAAAGCACCGGCUAACUACGUG